rnacentral:sRNA from 2 species
UGCCCCGGCCCACCACCCAUGGACAGGGGCGGGGGAACCACCGGGGCGCACGCCCCUGGGGUGAAGCCACCACAGGUGGCCGGGCACCUCUCGCCCGAACCCGUCAGCUAACCCCGCAGGCGCCGAGAGGAGCGAGA